UGAGCUCACGGAACCAAUAGAAUUUUAGGGGUAAGUGAGCAGUUUCAGAGGCAAAAAAUGAGAUAGAGUUUCCGGUCAGGAAACCAGAUGGUGUUGGCAGGAGAGUAGUGACCCUGCCUGGGGGUCCUGCUGGUCUUUUUAUGGGGCUUCCCGCCUCAUCUAUUUCUGUUUUUUAUUUGAGCUU